GAGUUUGAUCCUGGCUCAGAACGAACGCUCGGCUGGCAUGCUUAACACAUGCAAGUCGAACGCGAAAGUCUCUUCGGAGGCGAGUAGAGUGGCGCACGGGUGAGUAACACGUAGAUCAUCUACCCUUGAGACUGGGAUAACUUCUCGAAAGAGAAGCUAAUACCGGAUAAAAGCUUUUGUUGAGUGGCGAGAGUUUGAAAGUUCCGUCGCUGAGGGAUGAGUCUGCGUACCAUUAGCUAGUUGGUGGGGUAAUGGCCCACCAAGGCGACGAUGGUUAGCGGGUCUGAGAGGAUGAUCAGCAACACUGGGACUGAGACACGGUCCAGACUCCUACGGGAGGCAGCAGUGGGGAAUCUUGCGCAAUGGACGCAAGUCUGACGCAGCAAUACCGCGUGAGUGAAGAAGGCCUUAGGGUCGUAAAGCUCUUUAUCUCUACGAAGAUGAUGACGGUAGUAGAGGAAUAAGCACCGGCUAACUACGUGCCAGCAGCCGCGGUAAUACGUAGGGUGCGAGCGUUGUUCGGAAUCACUGGGCGUAAAGGGUGUGUAGGCGGACUGUUAAGCAUGAGGUGAAAGCCCGGGGCUCAACCCCGGAACUGCUUUUAGAACUGCCAUUCUAGAGAGGGUCAGAGGCAAGUGGAAUUCCUGGUGUAGAGGUGAAAUUCGUAGAUAUCAGGAGGAACACCGGUGGCGAAGGCGGCUUGCUGGGGCCAAUCUGACGCUGAGGCGCGAAAGCGUGGGGAGCAAACAGGAUUAGAUACCCUGGUAGUCCACGCUGUAAACGAUGAGUACCAGCUGUGUUUGAGGAAUCGAUCCCUCGAGUGGCGCAGCUAACGCGAUGAGUACUCCGCCUGGGAACUACGGUCGCAAGACUAAAACUCAAAGGAAUUGACGGGGACCCGCACAAGCGGUGGAGCAUGUGGUUUAAUUCGACGCAACGCGAAGAACCUUACCUGGGUUUGACAUCCUCGGACCGUCCUAGAGAUAGGAUUUCCUCUUCGGAGGCCGAGUGACAGGUGCUGCAUGGCUGUCGUCAGCUCGUGUCGUGAGAUGUUGGGUUAAGUCCCGCAACGAGCGCAACCCUUUGUCCUUAGUUGCCAGCACGUAAUGGUGGGAACUCUAAGGAGACUGCCGGUGUUAAGCCGGAGGAAGGUGGGGAUGACGUCAAGUCCUCAUGGCCUUUAUAUCCAGGGCUACACACGUGCUACAAUGGCACCUACAAAGAGCAGCAAGACCGCGAGGUUUAGCGAAUCUCAAAAAAGGUGUCUCAGUUCGGAUUACAGUCUGCAACUCGACUGUAUGAAGUUGGAAUCGCUAGUAAUCGUAGAUCAGCGUGCUACGGUGAAUACGUUCCCGGGCCUUGUACACACCGCCCGUCACACCAUGGGAGUUGACAUUGGCAGAAUACAUUGAGCUAACCUUCGGGAGGCGAGACGUCCCAAGCUCUUAUUGAUCACUAGGGUGAAGUCGUAACAAGGUA
rnacentral:rRNA from 1 species